GACGAACGCUGGCGGCGUGCCUAACACAUGCAAGUCGACCUUAGUGGCGAACGGGUGAGUAACACGUGGGUAACCUACCCAUCAGAAGGGGAUAACAAUUGGAAACAGGUGCUAAUUCCGUAUACUGAUGGAUGGACCCGGGGUGCAUUAGCUAGUUGGUGGGGUCACGGCUCACCAAGGCCACGAUGCAUAGCCGACCUGAGAGGGUAGUCGGCUACAUGGGGACUGAGACACGGUCCAGACUCCUACGGGAGGCAGCAGUGGAGAAUAUUGGACUAUGGGCGAAAGCCUGAUCCAGCCAUGCCGCGUGUGUGAAGAAGGUCUUCGGAUUGUAAAGCACUUUAAGUUGGGAGGCGUUACCAACAGAAUAAGCACCGGCUAACUUCGUGCCAGCAGCCGCGGUAAUAC
rnacentral:rRNA from 1 species